UGUAUAUGUAUAAUUAUAAUUGAAUAUCAGACUAAGUUCCUUUCCGCCAGUGAUCACUCUACUUACAAUCUUAUAAUACUAACACAAAGUUGAUUGAUAUUUAUUUAAAAAUCGAUAUCUUAUUUUUCACAUAAUACGUAUAAAUAAUCGGUAUUUAUAAGUCAUUUCAUAAAAGUCUUAUACUCCGUUGAAAUCAUUGUAAAUAUGGAGAAGGCUUUCGUACUUUUCACGCUUUUUGUAGCGGUUCUCGCCGUGACUUCGACGGCGAUAUCCGCUGAACCAGAACCAUCUUUUCUUGGACGAUUUACUCGUGGUAGCUGCAAUAAUGGGGAGUGUCACCAGCGCUGUCGAAGCAUCAUGUUUCCCGGAGGAGCCUGUAACGGAAAUACAUGUGAAUGUGAUAUUCUUUGAAAAAAAAAAGAUUUUUAUUAAUAACAAUGAUUAUUACUUUUAAAUGAUUGACGCAAUAAAAUAAAGUUGCAAUACAUAA